rnacentral:rRNA from 1 species
AACCGUUUGGUAUCAGCCCAUGGCCCCUGUUGAUCAUCUGGGCUUCUGUCCGGUGCACUCAUCAGGGGUCGGGCCAGCGUCGACUUUGCCCGCUGGAGAAAGGCCUUGGGAAUGUGACUCCUCACGGAGUGUUAUAGCCCUGGGCGUCAUGCAGUGUGGCGGGGUCGAGGUCCGCGGUCUUCCUAGGACGCUGGCGUAAUGGUCCCAAGCGA